rnacentral:snoRNA from 1 species
AUCCCAUGAUGUGGACACUUUCCUAACAUAUUCUUGAACCGAUUCCAGGCUUCAAUGAAAUUUUCUGAGUUGCCUUGGCAAAAAAUAGAGAUGUCAUGCUUGAGCUU